GCGGACACCCAGUAUUAAAAAGCGGAAGCGCUUCCACACUACCAAGUCGUUCCCAAAGUCAGACGUUACAAACGCUAGGAAGCACUCGAGCUAGCACUCUAGUCUCAUCUCCAUAGGACGCGACUAGUAAGGACGCGUCCUAGCAAGGCUGCAGCCUUCACUUUGGGAAACAGCCAGACUGGGGGUACCGUAACCGGACUGCGGUCAAGUGAGCCGCCAUUCGUUCAUCCGCGGUUAAACCAGCCGUCACACAAAAUCUUCGUGCGCCUUUACUCACAACCAAUCACGUUCUUCUGGAGGUCACUAGUUCUUACUUGAUUUCAGCUGCGUCUCCCCCGCCUCUCCUCAUAAAGCGCCCCCACCGUGACGGUUGUUAAUCGUUUUUUUUGCGUUGGAUUGCGUGGGCUGAACAAUCCGGACAUCGUGGCCACCGACGUGGACCCCCCGUCACCGGGACCCACGCAGUGAGUAACGCGGGGUAGCCUACUUCCUUCAUGAGCACUGCACAUGUUACACUCUCCCCAUCUCCUCCUGUCGUCUGUUCUCGCCCCUCUAUUGUACAUGUUUUACCGCUGGAGGUUAAUGUGGAUUUGCUGAUGGAAGUGGUAGUUUGUGUUGAGUGGUUUAUCUAUGGGAUCGACUGACUAACUAACGCUGCGGACCGCUACAGCACCGACCACCACACUGGGAAGUGUCCUCUGCUCACUGUGGAAGCAGCAUGGAAGAACUGCAGCAUCUCUGAUGGAAACGAGGACCUCCACCCUGUUGAACACAAACUGUUCUAGGCCUACUACAAACCGAGGCGGUCCCACUCGGUUAAAGAUCUCGUGGUCAAUGUGGCAGACCGCUGGACCUGGACGUCACCUUCUGCAGAUACUUCACUGCCCUCAGGAAUCCACGGAUAACUUGAAACAUGACCGACUCCACAUGUCCGAAAAUACAGGAUGGAAACUUGUGGAAGGAAGAAAGGGGAGCGGAUUGUACUCUCAGAGGCUUCAACAGAGCGGGUCUGGAGCUGGGAGCUGCAGGUGGAUGGUGGCCAGGAGCCGUUCAGUCCUACAGGAACAGACGGUAGAGGUGAUGGAGGCGGUCGUCUGGAGGUGCUCGCCGUGAGGUCCAUGGCGGUCGUCUGGAGGCGCUCGCUGCAGGUGGAGGGAAGGCCGGGAGCCGUGCAGCCCAACGGAUGCAGAACGGUGAGACACGGAACUUCACAGCUGCACAUUUUUUUUAGGCUUGGUGAAUUGUUUAGAAUGUUUU